AGAGUUUGAUCAUGGCUCAGGACGAACGCUGGCGGCGUGCUUCAGACAUGCAAGUCGAGCGGGCGGAGGCCGAACCGCAAGGGGAGGCUGAAGCUAGCGGCGAACGGGUGAGUAACACGUGGGUAAUCUGCCCGGAAGACUGGGAUAACGGUCCGAAAGGGCCGCUAAUACCGGAUAAUGUCGUUUUUCCGCAUGGGGAGACGAAGAAAGGCUUCGGUCACUUUCGGAUGAGCCCGCGACCCAUCAGCUAGUUGGUGAGGUAAAGGCUCACCAAGGCGACGACGGGUAGCCGGUCUGAGAGGAUGGUCGGCCACACUGGGACUGAGAUACGGCCCAGACUCCUACGGGAGGCAGCAGUCGGGAAUAUUGGGCAAUGGGCGAAAGCCUGACCCAGCGACGCCGCGUGAGGGAAGAAGGCCUUCGGGUCGUAAACCUCUGUCAUCGGGGACGAAGGAAGUGACGGUACCCGAGGAGGAAGCCCCUGCUAACUACGUGCCAGCAGCCGCGGUAAUACGUAGGGGGCGAGCGUUGUCCGGAGUUAUUGGGCGUAAAGGGCGUGUAGGCGGCCUGUUAAGUCAGGUGUGAAAUUUCAGGGCUUAACCCUGAAACUGCGUUUGAAACUGGCAGGCUUGAGGACAGGAGAGGGAAGUGGAAUUCCCGGUGUAGCGGUGGAAUGCGUAGAUAUCGGGAGGAACACCAGUGGCGAAGGCGGCUUCCUGGACUGUACCUGACGCUGAGGCGCGAAAGCUAGGGGAGCAAACAGGAUUAGAUACCCUGGUAGUCCUAGCCGUAAACGAUGAGUGCUAGGUGUGGGAGGUUAAAAUCCUUCCGUGCCGGAGUUAACGCAAUAAGCACUCCGCCUGGGGAGUACGGCCGCAAGGCUAAAACUCAAAGGAAUUGACGG
rnacentral:rRNA from 1 species